rnacentral:rRNA from 1 species
AACGAACGCUGGCGGCAUGCCUAACACAUGCAAGUCGAACGAGACCUUCGGGUCUAGUGGCGCACGGGUGCGUAACGCGUGGGAACCUGCCCUUAGGUUCGGAAUAACUCUCCGAAAGGGGUGCUAAUACCGGAUAAUGUCUUCGGACCAAAGAUUUAUCGCCUUUGGAUGGGCCCGCGUUGGAUUAGCUAGUUGGUAGGGUAAAAGCCUACCAAGGCGACGAUCCAUAGCUGGUCAGAGAGGAUGGUCAGCCACACCGGGAGUGAGACACGGCCCAGACUCCUACGGGAGGCAGCAGUGGGGGAUAGUGGACAAUGGGCGAAAGCCUGAUCCAGCAAGGCCGCGUGAGUGAUGAAGGCCUUAGGGUUGUAAAGCUCUUUUAACCGGGAUGAUAAUGACAGUACCGGGAGAAUAAGCUCCGGCUAACUCCGUG